rnacentral:tRNA from 1 species
AGCCGCGUGGCGCAAUGGGUAACUGGCCUGCCUCCGGAGCAGAAGAUUGCUGGUUCGAAUCCUGCCGUGGUCG